CCUGACGCAGCGACGCCGCGUGGGGGAGGACGGUCUUCGGAUUGUAAACCCCUUUUCCCAGGGAAGAGAUAGGACGGUACCUGGGGAAGAAGCCCCGGCUAACUACGUGC
rnacentral:rRNA from 1 species